rnacentral:rRNA from 1 species
GCUUACGGCCAUACCACCCUGAGCACGCCCGAUCUCGUCUGAUCUCGGAAGCUAACCAGGGUCGGGCCUGGUUAGUACUUGGAUGGGAGACCGCCUGGGAAUACCAGGUGCUGUAAGCU